CUGAUGUGAUUUUAGAACGGUGUUAAAUAUACAGUUUAACACCAGUAUCACUGUUCCCGCUAAGGUUCUAAAGUGGGCACGCGCGCUCCCUCUAAAACCUUAGAGGGAACAGCGCUUUAGAGGGAGCGCGCAUGAGGUCUGGAUUUGCCCAUAGCCCCUCACGGAACAGGUCAGAAGGUGAGGGCACUGCAAGGAGCAGACUGAUGGCCUGUCACUGGAGGCCUAGGAGUAUGUUUAAGUAGUGUGUAUAAGGAACUGUAGUUCUAUUGCACUGCGUGUAUAAGGAGUCAGGGCUGGUGCAAGGAUUGUUGCCGCCGUAGGCAAACAAAUUUGCCGCACCCCAUAUGCU